rnacentral:lncRNA from 10 species
AGUAACCUACAAGUGUCUGUUGCUCAGAAUGUCUUUAUUUUGAUCAGUCACUUCCACAGAGGACUGCCCAAAGAGACGCCUCUGUCCAGCUCUCGGGUCUGUCUGUGUGGAGUACGAGGCGUGUAGCCCUGGUGAUCGUAGAGUGAUGUUAGAUGUCUCAGGGUCAGGUGUUGAAUAAUAUGGGCUCUGCUUGGGAAGGUGUUCCCCUUUUCCUUUUGGCCAUGCUGGUGAGGUCUGAGGUUGAUGCUAGCCCGGCUUUAACUCUUGGAGACCCUGACAAAGUGAGUGUGGGCCUCUGGGUCAUGGUGCCGUCGGCCACUGGGAAGUUCCGAGCUCUCAGAUGCGGCUGCAGUAGACUCCGCUCAGAAAGUCCAGACGCCUUGAGGCCAAGGCUCACCCCCAGAUCAGCUGCAGGAGAAUCUCUUCAAUGGGACCUGGGCACCUCUCACUGUUUUGCAUGAUUCUGAUGCUCCUGAGGUUGAGAACCACUAACACUUAGGAUUUAAUGACAUUUGGCUUUCAUCAGAUCCAGUUGCCUUCUAGUGAUACUGGCUUUCUGUUUGCUAGAGUGAUACAUACUUUCCUUUUUAAGUAAAUGUUAUAAGUGAAAAAAGAUGAAUGGUGUAAUCCCACCCCAGGGUCACUUGAGCCCAGGAGCUCCAGACUAGCCUGGGCAACAUAGUGAGACCCUGUCUUAAAAAAAAAUGCAUGGAUUGAAAAGGCAACGUUAUUCAGCAACAGUGCAAGUGGGAGGCGAGUGUAGCAAGAAUCCUGGUGGUGCUUUGUGAUGCACCGGGGUUUGGGGAACACUCCUCUAGAUUUUAUCCAUGGAUUGCAGUUUUAGCCCCCAUUAUUUUGGCGCCCAUAGACUCAUUGGGAAUGAUUUGACAUUAUGCCAAUGACUCAUUAAGUGCAAACAGCAGAAAUAGCUAAAUGAAACAAUUUAGAAAUAGCUAAAAGGUACAAUUUAGUGAUUGUAUCUUUCUCUGUGUAACAAAUUGUCCCAACACUGAGAGGAAAAAGGACAUUUGGCAGUGACAGCAUUUACCAUCUCACAGUUUCUGUGGGCCUGGAGUCCUCGUGCCACUCAGCUGGUUCUCUCUCCAGGGUCUCUCCCAGGCUGCAACCACAGCCUCAGCCGGUGACUGCAGACACCUCAGGGCUCUCCUAGGGAAGGAUCUGCGUCCAAGCUAACCCGUGUGGUUGUUGGCAGGAUUCAGUUUCUUACGGACUCUUGGACUGAGGGCCUCAGUUACUCUCCAGCUGUUGACUGGAGGCCACCCUCGGUUUCUUGCCUAUCCAGGCCUCUUCACUGCGGCCAAAGAAAGCAAAAGAGAGAGACCAACUAAAUGGGAAUCAGGGUGUUUUGUAGUCUAAGCUUUAGAGGUAGCAUUCUGGCCGGGAGCAGUGGCUCACGCCUGUAAUUCUAGCAUUUUGGGAGGCUAAGGUGGGGGUGCAUUUGAGGUCAGGAGUUCGAGACCAGCCUGGCCAACAUGGUGAAGCCCCAUCUCUACUAAAAACACAAAAAUUAGCCAGGCGGUAGUUACACACGCCUGUGAUCCCAGCUACUCAGGAGGCUGAGGCAGGAGAAUCACUUGAGCCCGGGAGGCGGAGGUUGCAGUGAGCCAAGAUCGACCCACUACAUUCCAGUCUGGGUGACAGAGCGAGACUCCGUCUC